rnacentral:lncRNA from 1 species
AAAUAAAUUCAACUAAAAAAAUUCAUAUGAAAAAAAUAAAGUUGCAAUUGCUAAAAAUUUAAAAAUCCUAUAAAUAAAUCAACUAAAAAUUGAUCUCAUAUGAAAAAAAAAUCUCACAACAACAUUUAUACAAUUAUUAAGAACAAAAACAAUUAAAAAUAAAAUAAAAAACAAAUAUAGUGAAAAAAAUCAUGAAAAAAAAAGAAAAAAGAAAAAUCUUACCUUAAUGUAGUUGCAAGUGAAGCUAAUGAGAGAGAAAAAAUUCGUUAAGCAUAUUAAUUAAAAAAAAAAAAAACUAAGAGGAUAAAAGAAGAAAGAAGAAGAAGACAUACCCAAGCAUGGAGGAAAAGAGAAGGAGAUGAGGAGAGAAAAUAAGAGAAAGAAAUAUAUAUUGAUGUUUUUUACAUAUAGUGAAGAAGAAGAAUAAUAAGGAGAAGAAAUGAAUCUGCCUCUUGUGAAAUAAGGGGAUUCAGGCUUUUUAUUGGGGCGCGUUACCGACGGAUAAUUGAAUAUUAAUAUUUUUUAAUUAUUCCGUCGGUAAUUUCAUCGGUAAUAUUUAAUUUAAAUUUUCAAUUUCGUAAAAUUUUUUCAGAAACCGCCAACAAUUACCGACGGUUUUUCAAUCCGUCGGUGAUUACGUCUGUAAUAUCUAAAUGAAAAUUUUAAAUUAAUUGAUUUUUUUCAGAAAACCGCCAAAUAACACUCUCUGGAAAAUACCGACGGAAAAUUCCGUCGGUGAUUCUCUUUGUAAUUGACAUGAUGAAUAGUGUUUACCGACGAAAUUUACCGACGGAAAAUUCCGUCGGUAAUUCCAUCGGUAAAAAUGACACGUCAUCUUUUUUUUGCUUUGUUUUAAAUUUUUUUUCCCACGGUAAUUCCAUCGGUAUAUACCGAUGGAAUAUUUCUGUCGGUAAAAUCUCUUGGAAAUUUAUCGACGAAAAUAUUCUCUUGAUAUUUCCAUUUGUAUUUAUCAAUUUUCUGGUAAUGAGUGGAGAGAAAGACUUAGCACAAACAAAAUAAGCAAGGUUGUCUCUGGGAUUUGGAAGCAUAAAAAAGUUAUAUCAUCAAAACGAUCGCAAAAAUUCAUGGGAGUACAUAUAGCUUAUCAAUAUUAUGACUUCACAUCCACGUAUAUUUAGAUUAAAGAUAUCCCAUCACACAUAUUUUGUAUCUUUUACUUAGUGACACGUAUAAUAUUCUAGAGAAUUACUUGAAAUAUAUAAAUAAAAUUGAUCGAACUUAGCUUACGCUAAUGUAUAUUUAAGGUGCUAAUUCUCUACCUUAGUACCUCGUCAAGAGAAAUAUCAUCCUUAGAGCAUGCCAGUCGAAAAGAAAAGGACCGAGGAGGAACACAGAGUUCCACAGCAUGGGCCAAUAUCUCUUGAUGCCAAUGCCCAC